AUGGCGAGAGUGGAGCUGCAAGUGGAGCCAUGGCAAGAACUCGUAGUCCAGGUGAUGGUGCUGCUGAGCUUCACGAUGCAGCUAGUGCUUCUCGUGCUGGCGGAGUUCCGCCGGCGCAUGGACUCCGGUGUGCUGAGGGCCGUGAUAUGGUCGGCCUACAUGAUGGCCGACUCGACCGCGACUUACAUCCUGGGACACCUCUCCUUGACGAGCAGGUCAGCCGACCACCAGCUCAUGGCGUUUUGGGCGCCCUUCCUGCUGCUGCACCUUGGUGGGCAGGACAACAUCACCGCCUACGCCAUCGAGGACAAUCGGCUGUGGGUGCGGCAUCUGCAGGCUCUCGCCGUGCAGAUCGCUGCAGCUACCUACGUCCUAUACGAGUCCACUGUGGUCGGCACCCAGGCCCUGCUCCGGAAUGCUGCUGUCCUCGUGUUCGUGCUGGGCGUUGUCAAGUAUGGGGAGAGGGUGUGGGCGCUCAAGCGUGCUGACAUUAGCUCGUCGGGCAGCAAAUACCGGUUCUACAAGAACCUGACCGAUACUCAGAUUGGACCUCCUACAGACCAGCGAGACGACACGGAGGACCUGCUGCGGAUAGCCCACCUUCUUUUGGAUGUUCCAAAGGAAAUGUUUCAGGGGCCGUUGCCCGUCGUAGUGGUACCGACACACCUAUACGAUGAUGCCCACGCCAAGCCCAUCUCCGCGGAUGAGAUGUACAAGGUGGUGGAGAUGCAGCUCAGCCUGAUGCAUGAUGUCGUGUACAGCAAGGCCGUGGUGAUCCACACAUGGUAUGGCAUCUGUAUCCGCAUCAUUUCUCCUGUGUUCGUUGCCAUCGCGUUCAAGUUAUUCCACAAGUCGGGUGCCGGUGACCACCACUAUAGCGGAGCAGACAUUGUCAUCACUUAUAUCCUGCUAAUUGGGGCGGUUAUACUGGAGUUGGUUUCGGUGCUAAGGGCCAUGUUCUCCAGAUGGCCAAGCCUUGUACUAUGGAAACUUGCCUACAAUGACGUCGGAAAGGAAAGGCGCAUGUGGGGUUUGCUUUCCCGUGCAAUUGCGUCUAUCCGCCGGUUCGUCCUUCCAUUGAGGUACAAGUCGAGAUGGUGGUGGUCGGACUCUAUGGGGCAGCACAACAUUUUCGAAUUAUGCGUUCGCAGCAGGGCUAGCCAAGGAAGCAGGAUCGCGGGCAGGAUGGGGGUCGAGGACUGGUGGAACACGAUGGUCUACUCAUGGUCCAUCCCCGUCUCCAAAACUAUUAAGGAACUAGUGGUGCAACUAGUGCUCGAGAGUAGGCAGAGCUAUAUGCUAAGCUACCACAGGCCGUACUCCUAUACCACGCUGGAGCCAGAUCACAUAAUUAACUCACGGGGCCGGGCGGCCUUAGAGAGGUGGAAGUUGUAUGAGAAACUGGGAAAAUUCCUGCAUAAGGAGUUUGAUGAGAGCAUCCUUGUGUGGCAUAUCGCCACCAAUAUCUACCUCUGUUGGCACAAAGAUCAGGGGGAAGCUGUUGCAGAUGAUAUGUGUCAUCUUGCGGAGGUGAUGUCCAAUUACAUGCUUUUCCUCCUUGCAGCACGCCCCUACAUGUUGCCGGGCUCUGUCAGCCGCACCACAUAUGUUAAUUUGUGCUACUCCCUCACCAUCGCCAGUCUCAAAUACACCUCAGCACAUGAUUUGGCCAGUUUGCUAAAGGGGUCAAUAUUUCCCUUGCCGACAAUAGUACAGUGUGUGAUGCACGCAAACUUGCUCAGGAAUUGGUCUCUCCAGAAUCUGGCCCACCUGCUCCGCUGGAGAUGA
rnacentral:rRNA from 1 species